GGGCCGUUAGCUCAGUCGGUAGAGCACCGGACUUUUAAUCCGUUGGUCGAAGGUUCGAAUCCUUCACGGCCCACCA
rnacentral:tRNA from 1 species